UGAACGCUGGCGGCGUGCUUAACACAUGCAAGUCGAACGAGAACGGGUUAUAGCUUGCUAUAACUGUCAGCUAAGUGGCGCACGGGUGAGUAAUAUAUAGUUAACCUGCCCUAGAGAAGGGGAUAACGUUUGGAAACGGACGCUAACACCCUAUAUGCCUUUAAUACAUAAGUAUGCAAGGGAAACAUUUAUGGCUCUAGGAUGGGACUGUACGGUAUCAGUUAGUUGGUGAGGUAAUGGCUCACCAAGACAAUGACACCUAACUGGUUUGAGAGGAUGAUCAGUCACACUGGAACUGAACACGGUCCAGACUCCUACGGGAGGCAGCAGUGGGGAAUAUUGCACAAUGGACGAAAGUCUGAUGCAGCAACGCCGCGUGGAGGAUGACACAUUUCGGUGCGUAAACUCCUUUUAUAUAGGAAGAUAAUGACGGUACUAUAUGAAUAAGCACCGGCUAACUCC
rnacentral:rRNA from 1 species